GACAGCAGUAGCCGCGGUAAUACGAAGGGGGCUAGCGUUGUUCGGAAUUACUGGGCGUAAAGCGCACGUAGGCGGAUAUUUAAGUCAGGGGUGAGAUCACAGAGCUCAACUCUGGAACUGCCUUUGAUACUGGGUAUCUUGAGUAUGGAAGAGGUGAGUGGAAUUCCGAGUGUAGAGGUGAAAUUCGUAGAUAUUCGCAAGAACACCAGUGGCGAAGGCGGCUCACUGGCCCGAUACUGACGCUGAGGCACGAAAGCGUGGGGAGCAAACAGGAUUAGAUACCCCUGUAGUCCCUGUCUCUUAUAA
rnacentral:rRNA from 1 species